rnacentral:rRNA from 1 species
CGAAAGCCUGACGGAGCAACGCCGCGUGAGGGAUGAAGGCCUCUGGGCUGUAAACCUCUUUUAUCAAGGAAGAAGAUCUGACGGUACUUGAUGAAUAAGCCACGGCUAAUUCCGUGCCAGCAGCCGCGGUAAUACGGGAGUGGCAAGCGUUAUCCGGAAUUAUUGGGCGUAAAGCGUCCGCAGGCGGCCCUUCAAGUCUGCUGUUAAAACGUGGAGCUUAACUCCAUCAUGGCAGUGGAAACUGUUGGGCUUGAGUGUGGUAGGGGCAGAGGGAAUUCCCGGUGUAGCGGUGAAAUGCGUAGAUAUCGGGAAGAACACCAGUGGCGAAGGCGCUCUGCUGGGCCAUMACUGACGCUCAUGGACGAAAGCCAGGGGAGCGAAAGGGAUUAGAUACCCCUGUAGUCCUGGCCGUAAACGAUGAACACUAGGUGUCGGGGGAAUCGACCCCUUCGGUGUCGUAGCCCACGCGUUAAGUGUUCCGCCUGGGGAGUACGCACGCAAGUGU